rnacentral:rRNA from 1 species
GACGAAGGUGGCGAGCGUUACUCGGAAUUACUAGGCGUAAAGCGUGGGUAGGCGGUUCGGCAAGUCUGUUGUGAAAGCUCCCGGCUCAACUGGGAGAGGCCAAUGGAUACUACCGGACUUGAAUGUGGGAGAGGUCACUGGAAUUCCCGGUGUAGCGGUGAAAUGCGUAGAGAUCGGGAGGAACACCGAUGGCGAAAGCAGGUGACGGGACCACUAUUGACGCUGAGCCACGAAAGCUAGGGGAGCAAACAGG